UGCACCACAAAGUGACACGUGUCCCCACAAUCCCCCGCUUUCACUCACUUGGCUUCACCCACACGAGUUCUUCUCCACCACUUCGAGUCCCUCCACUGCCGCCGUCAUCAUCCGUCUGCUUCCCCUCCCCCUCUCUGUCGCGUUUGCAGUCCCCCACUCCUGGUGAAACUUCCUCUCUCAAUCCCUAAAUUGCAUUCGCGUUCCUACCUCUCUCUGAAGCUUCCCCGUGCCUCUUUGCCCAAGGAAUCAAUUCAACCUUGGUGCAGCAACGAUCCCUCUCCCCGUAUGUGCUAUCCUCUCUCUUCUCUUUCUGCUUCACUUUUUCUUCUACCUAUUCAAUUGUUUUGUGAAGCCCUUUUCCUUUGGAUUUUUUAUCGACAUUUUUUUUUCUGGGCAGCAACGAUCUCUCUCCGCGUAAGCUGAGAGAAGUUGUGGAACAUAUUUGUUUCCUCAAAUCCUGUGUUAGAAGCAUCUUGAUUUUUUUAUUUUGUUUUUUCUAUAAUUUAUUGGCUGGUCCUGUUGAAACAUGUGUUAACAAGGUCUUCUUUGGUGUCGACAGGUCAUGGAGUGCAGCUACUGCUCAGUUUUUUUAAGUUGGAUUCAUUGAUUGCAAUAUUAUAUGUCUCCUUUGAGAUUCUUGAUUUUUUUUAGUUGCAGUGUACAUUUGUCCCUUUGCUUUCUGGUCUGGGAGUAACAACUUCUGUACUUUUUUUUAGUUUGUGAUAUUUAAGAAAGUUUUAUGACUGGUUAUUCUUUUCCCUUCAAUGCUCCCUAUUUUUUUCCCACAUACUUUAUGACUGAUUAUUGUUUUGACUGAUUAGUUUCAAAUUAGUUGUAAGUUCAUAUUGUUUCUUUUAAGUAUUAUCUCUUAUGGUAACUCAUUUCCUUCAUGAAUUGUCAAGUUGAGCUUUUCUCAAGUCUUUUCCAUGAAUUCUUUUUGGAUUUGUUUAUCUCAUUAGGUUAAUUUUCGUUGGUGGUCUAUCAAAUCAUUUUUUGGCUUUUUGUUUUGUGGUCAAAGUAGAUGAGUAAUUUAAUUUCCAACCUCCAUGUUGGAGAGGUUAAAAUUCAAUUGGUUGGUUUAUGUUUCAUAUUGGUUUAAAGGGAUGAUAACGCUCUUGACUAUACCUUCCAGGUAUUAUGGGGAAAAUGCUCACUGCUCUGAACAUUCUUAGCUUAAUUGCUGCAAAAGGGUUACCCUGUUCAGUUUUCAAGGUUGUUAGAUAUGAGAAAGAUAAAGAAAACACUUAGUGGACUAAUUAGUAGUCUCAGUUAUGCAAAUAAGCUGCAAUAAAUUCCUGUUUAUAAUGUAAUCCAUAUUGCAGAAGAAAAAUUGAUUGGCAUUGCUCAAUGGGUCUUUUAGCAGCAAAAUAGUUGAACGAGAGGAGAGUUUGAACAUUGUCGGAUGCCUCAAAUUUUGAACACUGUCACAUUGUCAUUUGUUUCAAUUGGCAAUGCUUAAGUAGAUCCUCCAAUGGGGUUUUGAGGGGUUUAUUGUUAUUUCUUCAAUUUAUUGGCUGGUGCUAUUUUGUUUCAA